GACGUAGGGCGCGAGCGUUGUCCGGAUUUAUUGGGCGUAAAGAGCUCGUAGGCGGCUUGUCGCGUCGUCCGUGAAAACUUGGGGCUCAACCCCAAGCUUGCGGUCGAUACGGGCAGGCUAGAGUUCGGUAGGGGAGACUGGAAUUCCUGGUGUAGCGGUGAAAUGCGCAGAUAUCAGGAGGAACACCAAUGGCGAAGGCAGAUCUCUGGGCCGUAACUGACGCUGAGGAGCGAAAGCAUGGGGAGCGAACAGG
rnacentral:rRNA from 1 species